rnacentral:rRNA from 1 species
UUAACACAUGCAAGUCGAACGAACUUAUUUAGCUUGCUAAAUAAGUUAGUGGCAAACGGGUGAGUAACACGUGGGAAUCUACCCAGUAGUACGGAAUAACAGUUGGAAACGAUUGCUAAUACCGUAUAGUAUCGAGAGAUUAAAGAUUUAUCGCUACUGGAUGAGCCCGCGUCAGAUUAGGUAGUUGGUGGGGUAAUGGCCUACCAAGCCUACGAUCCAUAGCUGGUUUGAGAGGAUGAUCGGCAACACUGGGACUGAGACACGGCCCAGACUCC